rnacentral:tRNA from 1 species
GGGACUGUAGCUCAGUGAUAGAGCACCUAUCUAGCAUGUAUGAGGCACUGAGUUCAAUCCUCAGCACCU